rnacentral:RNase_P_RNA from 1 species
GGGAGAGAGAGCCUGGCUGCCGCGAUGGUCCCGCCGGCAACGGCGCGACCACCUGCGUGCCCAUCCUUCGGGAUGCAUCACGCUCUAACGUGGGCCGUCCCUUCAGGACGCCCCACGCUCGCGAGGAAAGUCCCCCCACCCGUUCGGGCGGGUGACCGGACGCAAGUCCGGAGCGGGAGACCGCUGGCUCUGGAACAGAAACGACACGUCUCGGCCAGACCGAUGAUGCGUGCGAACCCGACCGAGAGGAAGGGGAGUUGACCCGCAGAGGGAACGCGUGGCCGCUUCGCGGUCACGUUCGUGAGGCGGUGUGAACCGCCGAACGGGCGAGCGGCGGAAGCCGUGAGCCGUGUGCGGUCGCGACGCGUGGUUCGAAUCCACGAAUCGCGCCAUCGGCGCGAUUGACCGCACACAGACGGCCGAGGAUCGAUGGAACGGCGAAUCCUCACCGGUGCAAGUCCGCGCCGUGGUAGCCCGAACACCCCGCGGCCCCGCCGCGGACGGCGCGGACGCUCAGCCGAAUGCCGGGCCGAACAGAAGGGGGCUUACUCCUCUCACCC